rnacentral:rRNA from 1 species
CCCUUAGAUGUUCUGGGCUGCACGCGCGCUACACUGACACUAUCAACGAGUGCUCCUGGUUUGAAAGGAUCGGGUAAUCUUUUGAAAUGGUGUCGUGAUGGGGAUAGAUCAUUGCAAUUAUUGAUCUUGAACGAGGAAUUCCUAGUAAAUGUGAGUCAUCAGCUCACGUUGAUUACGUCCCUGCCCUUUGUACACACCGCCCGUCGCUCCUACCGAUUGAGUGAACCGAUGAGUAGUCCGGAUUGCGAUCGACCUCGGUUAAUCGCGAGAAGUUCCGCAAAUCACUUCGCUUAGAGGAAGGAGAAGUCGUAACA